UACAGAGGUCCCGAGCGUUGUUCGGAUUCACUGGGCGUAAAGGGUGCGUAGGCGGUUUGGUAAGUCUUAUGUGAAAUCUACAGGCUCAACUUGUAGUCUGCAUGAGAAACUGCCGGGCUUGAGUGUGGGAGAGGUGAGUGGAAUUCCGGGUGUAGUGGUGAAAUGCGUAGAGAUCCGGAGGAACCCCAGAGGCGAAGGCGGCGCCCUGGCUCGCAACUGACGCUCAUACACGACAGCAUGGGGAGCGAACGGG
rnacentral:rRNA from 1 species